UCAUCUCUGGAUCUUAUUUCCAGUCCUCAGGAGGACCGGUUUUGAUGACCUAGUCUGAUUACAGCAUCUUUGACAGCUUUAAAGGAAUUUGCGCUGGGGAAGAAGACAGCUGCUCCUCUGAUGAGGGAUUUUUCUGAGCAGGCCUCCCAAGCCAGACAUGCCAGUGUGAGAGGCUGCCUACGUUUUUCAUCGUGACCAACAGGUUGUUAAACUACAAUCAAAAGCACUUAGUACAAAUGGAGCUGUCCCUGUUACGACAUUUGAACUCCUGACAUCUUUAUCCACUGGAACUUGAGUGCCCAGGACACAGCAGAGAGGGGAUUUUGGGAGCAUUUCACAAGGCCUGCAGCUGUGAGCUGGUUUCAGCAUGAGGAAAAGCCCUCCAUCACCCCAAUGCACAGGAAA